rnacentral:rRNA from 1 species
UAAGCAGCGUGUGAAAUGAUGAGGCUCAACCUCAUGUCCAUGCGCUGAACUGCUAAGCUAGAGCAUGAUAGAGGUAGCUGGAAUUCCUAGUGUAGGAGUGAAAUCCGUAGAUAUUAGGAGGAACACCGAUGGCGUAGGCAGGCUACUGGAUCAUUGCUGACGCUCAGGCACGAAAGCGUGGGAGCGACCGGGAUUAGAUACCCCGUUAGUCCACGCCGUAAACUAUGGAUGCUA